AAUAUCGCCGCAUUCGAUACUAUAAAUACGACAGCCACGAGAGAAAAAAAAUCAUUCAGUAUUCUGAUUUACAAACGGACAGUUCAACUGUAAUUUCAAAUUUGAAAACAAAUACCAGUGCAUAUCAAUCGACAAUUUUUUUAAAAAUGAAUCCAGCAAAUCGGAAUGAACUACGACCCGACGAAAGAUGCUAUCAACAAGUGAUGAAGUGCAGAUGUAUCGUCAAGGAAAGGGAUUUAUAUCCUCCUCGUCCUAAACCAACACCGAUAGUAACAGAUCCUUGCGCGAACUUGCAAUUCGACGAUCCCGACCUCGAUUUCGGAGAAGUAGAAUCUACUCCAGGUAUCCUCACAAAAGACGUUGAAUUGGUGCCACCCAAAAAAUAUCAAUAUCAAGGAAAUCCGCAUCAAGGAAAUUCGUCCCAAGGAAAUCAGUUUCAAGGAUAUCAGUAUCAAGGAUAUCAGUUUCAAGAAGAUCCCUUCCAAGGGAAUUUGUUUCAACAAAUUCCGUAUGAAGGAUACGAUGGGUUUGGAAAUAUCGUAAGGCGUGACACUCGUGACAGGUCUAAAAGAAACGCUAAUGCAUCCAAUGUAAAAUGGGGCAAGAGUGGUAUGCGUAAAUUUUUUUGAUGCGAAUGUCUCGUUUUGAAUUACUUAAGUACUUACUUAUUGAAUAAACUAUUAAAAUAGACGAAACUGUAUAAUUGUAGGUAGUAUAAUUUUUAUUCGAAAUAAAUGUGAUUAAAAGGUA